UAUCAGAUAAACUUAAGGAAACGCCAGUUCUUCGUCGUAAACGAUUUUCGUCAGGACUCUGAAAUGUAUAAAAAGAAGUUUUAGAUGAAAUUCUAUAUUUAAUAAAGAAGCACCUUUCUAACUUAAAGGCUAUUACUUAAAAAAGAAUAGAGAUCAAUACCUGAUCUAAAAUACCGGCAGUGGGUUCAGAAGCAUAACCUACUUCUUGUGCAUCUUCUUCUAGAUCUGCCUCAUAUUCUUCUAAUUCGUCAGUAUCGGAAUCAAUUUCCAAAUCAACGUAUAUACUUCCCCUGGAUACUUUACACACCAUUUGAGCCAAAUCUGUAAAGGUGUAUGAAGAUACUGUUUGCUGAUUCGCCGCUUGGUGUUUUGCUCGUAACGCCCGAGCAUUUUCUCUAUCUGCAUUAAACCGAGGCAAAACUCCAGCUUUUAGUUGUCCUUCGAAAUAAGUUUUUCCUGUAAAAAAAUAUGUUUAUAUAAU